UACGUAGGGUGCGGGCGUGUCCGGAAUUACUGGGCGUAAAGAGCUCGUAGGUGGUUUGUCGCGUUGUCCGUGAAAACUCACAACUCAAUUGUGGGCGUGCGGGCGAUACGGGCAGACUGGAGUACUGCAGGGGAGACUGGAAUUCCUGGUGUAGCGGUGGAAUGCGCAGAUAUCAGGAGGAACACCGGUGGCGAAGGCGGGUCUCUGGGCAGUAACUGACGCUGAGGAGCGAAAGCGUGGGGAGCGAACAGG
rnacentral:rRNA from 1 species